rnacentral:rRNA from 1 species
GCCAGACUCCUACGGGAGGCAGCAGUGAGGAAUAUUGGUCAAUGGCCGCAGGGCUGAACCAGCCAAGUCGCGUGAGGGAUGACGGUCCUAUGGAUUGUAAACCUCUUUUGUCAGGGAGCAAAGGGCGCCACGUGUGGCGCUUUGCGAGUACCUGAAGAAAAAGCAUCGGCUAACUCCGUGCCAGCAGCCGCGGUAAUACGGAGGAUGCGAGCGUUAUCCGGAUUUAUUGGGUUUAAAGGGUGCGCAGGCGGAAUGACAUGUCAGCGGUAAAAAUGCGGCGCUCACCUCCGCCGAGCCGUUGAAACUGCCGUUCUUGAGUGAGCGAGAAGUAUGCGGAAUGCGUGGUGUAGCGGUGAAAUGCAUAGAUAUCACGCAGAACUCCGAUUGCGAAGGCAGCAUACCGGCGCUCAACUGACGCUCAUGCACGAAAGUGUGGGUAUCGAACAGGAUUAGAUACCCCCGUA